rnacentral:tRNA from 1 species
AGGGAAAUAGCUCAGUGGUAGAGCACAUGGUUAGCAUGCACGAGAUCCUGGGUUCAACUCCCAGUACCUCCA